rnacentral:lncRNA from 1 species
UCUUUUCAAACAGAUGAAGAUCCUUCAUUUGUGGAGCUCUUGUUUCAAUAUGGUAGGUAUAUACUAAUUUCUAGUUCGCGUGCUGGAACUCAGGUCUCAAAUCUACAGGGCAUAUGGAACAAGAAUCUUGAGCCUGCAUGAGUUUGUAACUUGUAUUCCUUUGUUAUCAUGCAGCGGUGCGCCUCACUUGAACAUUAAUCUUCAAAUGAACUAUUGGCCAACUCUUGCUUGCAAUCUACAUGAAUGUCAAGAGCCAUUAUUUGAUUACAUUUCCUCUUUGUCAGUCACUGGUAGUAAAACUGCAAA